AUUGAACGCUGGCGGCAUGCCUUACACAUGCAAGUCGAACGGUAACGGGCCUUCGGGUGCCGCCGAGUGGCGAACGGUUGCGUAAUACAUCGGAACGUGCCCGAUCGUGGGGUAUAACGAGGCGAAAGCUUUGCUAAUACCGCAUACGAUCUACGGCUGACAGCAGGGGACCGCAAGGCCUUGCGCGGACUGAGCGGCCGAUGGCAGAUUAGGUAGUUGGUGGGAUAAAAGCUUACCAAGCCGACGAUCUGUAGCUGGUCUGAGAGGAUGAUCAGCCACACUGGGACUGAGACACGGCCCAGACUCCUACGGGAGGCAGCAGUGGGGAAUUUUGGACAAUGGGCGCAAGCCUGAUCCAGCCAUGCCGCGUGCAGGAUGAAGGCCUUCGGGUUGUAAACUGCUUUUGUACGGAACGAAAAGCCUUCUUUUAAUACAGGAGGGUCAUGACGGUACCGUAAGAAUAAGCACCGGCUAACUACGUG
rnacentral:rRNA from 1 species